UCGGGUAUGGUGUAACGGCUAACAUUGCCGCCUCUCAUCAAGGCGUGCGCGGCAGCUCGGGGUUCGAUUCCCCGUACCCGAA